GCCGUCGUAGACCAGUGGCAGGUCACCUUCGCCAUUUAAUGAAUGUUGUCUAUAAACGGGAGGAACCGGGGGUUCGAUUCCCCCGACGGCA